AGAGUAUAAUGCAGCCAAGGAUGACUUGCCGGAACGUUGUUAAUUAUACGUAUAAAUUAUGUGAUGAACAUAUUUCUGGCAAGUUGUCCUUCGGCUAUAUUUUGCUCUCU
rnacentral:pre_miRNA from 1 species